rnacentral:rRNA from 1 species
CAGGCCUAACACAUGCAAGUCGGACGGUAGCACAGAGAGCUUGCUCUCGGGUGACGAGUGGCGGACGGGUGAGUAAUGUCUGGGGAUCUGCCCGAUAGAGGGGGAUAACCACUGGAAACGGUGGCUAAUACCGCAUAACGUCGCAAGACCAAAGAGGGGGACCUUCGGGCCUCUCACUAUCGGAUGAACCCAGAUGGGAUUAGCUAGUAGGCGGGGUAAUGGCCCACCUAGGCGACGAUCCCUAGCUGGUCUGAGAGGAUGACCAGCCACACUGGAACUGAGACACGGUCCAGACUCCUACGGGAGGCAGCAGUGGGGAAUAUUGCACAAUGGGCGCAAGCCUGAUGCAGCCAUGCCGCGUGUAUGAAGAAGGCCUUCGGGUUGUAAAGUACUUUCAGCGGGGAGGAAGGCGGUGCGGUUAAUAACCGCGCCGAUUGACGUUACCCGCAGAAGAAGCACCGGCUAACUCCGUGCCAGCAGCCGCGGUAAU